ACCUCUCACAGUGGUGUGCAGCUGCCAGGCCCAUAUUGCCCUCCAGUCUAGGGUAUGUGAGCAGCGGCUCCUUGCAGGCCUUCGAAAUUGCCUGCCAGCCCAUCUCAUUCACCCUUGCUCUCCGACAACUGAACCAACCUUGCUGGUGUUGAGUCCUACUUCAAAAAGACUGUGGCUCUCAGGAGAUAGGAAGCGUGGUAUACAGACAAAAACUCAAUGUACAAAGGGAUUAGCACAAAGGAAUAAGAGGAAGGAAAAAGAAGCAAAACAAGAAAACAAAAAACAAAUGAGAGUCAGCACAUCAGGGCACGGGGGCAUGGGAGACACCUUGGAAGCCGUAUCACGUGAGACCUUGGAGUGGCAGCCACUUUAUCAUGCACUGUCUGCCAGGGCUUGAAAACUACAGCAGCAGAGGGGACCUAGAGAUCAGCUCUAUCGGCAGAUGGCUGUGGAGCCAAGAACCAAGGACCAGAUUGUAGGAGGCUGGACUCCUUCAUCUGACUCCUCCACACAGAGAAAAUGAAAGCUGAGAAAAACAUCUGGUCUUCCCCUGCCUUUGAAGAGCAGGGUGAUGGUGAACUCCGCUGAGCUUCUCCUACAGCAACAGAAAACGGGCCAGGUCAGCAGAGUCCACCCAGGCCUGAAGCACUGAUGCCAGGGGUCACAAGUGAGCACAUCACACAGACUCCAAGACCAAAAGGCAGCAGACCAGCAUUACACUCCACGAUGAAGCCGGGAGCUUCCCCAUGCUGGUUAGGAGCUGGAUCUGUGGUCUCCACCUGACUUUGAACAGGUUCCCUAACCCCCCUAGGCCUGGCUUUUCUCAUUUGGACCAAGGACAUCUAAGAAUUGUUGAUUGUUUUUGACUCUUUGGUUCUUUUGGGGGGUGCCACUCAGCACCCAAAUAAAUCUUAUAUGAGGCUUA